AAGUCCGGAGACGCCGGCGGGGGCCUCGGGAAGAGUUAUCUUUUCUGCUUAAUGGCCUGCCAACCCUGGAAACGGUUCAGCCGGAGGUAGGGUCCAGUGGCCGGAAGAGCACCGCACGUCGCGCGGUGUCCGGUGCGCCCCCGGCGGCCCAUGAAAAUCCGGA
rnacentral:rRNA from 1 species